rnacentral:rRNA from 1 species
AUUGAACGCUGGCGGCAGGCCUAACACAUGCAAGUCGAGCGAGCGGCGGACGGGUGAGUAAUGUAUGGGGCUCUGCCCGAUAGAGGGGGAUAACUACUGGAAACGGUGGCUAAUACCGACUACUAUCGGAUGACCCACUAUGGGAUUAGCUAGUAGGUGGGGUAAAGGCUCGCCUAGUCGACGAUCUCUAGCUGGUCUGCGAGGAUGAUCAGCCACACGGGGACUGAGACACGGACCAGACUCCUACGGGAGGCAGCAGUGGGGAAUAUUGCACAAUGGGCGCAAGCCUGAUGCAGCCAUGCAGCGUGGAUGAAGAAGGCCUUAGGGUUGUAAAGGACUUUCAGCGGGGAGGCGUUACCCGCAGAAGAAGCGCCGGCUAACUCCGUGCCAGCAGCCGCGGUAAUUC